UAUAUAUAUAGGGAUCCAUCAACAGGUUUUGAUAAUAUAAGUACACUGUGCUGACUGAAUGACUGUGGUGGCCUUUUUACUCUAAAUUUAAAGAAUUCUGAAAUAUUUUUUGUGUAGCAUCUCCUCAAAAGCUGGUAGCUAUUUCUCAACAUGUAACAGUUAUUUAAUAGCUACCAAUUCUGUUGCUACAAUUUUUAGCUGUACUGUUGGUACCAAAAUACAGAUUUGCUGGUCUGUAAUUUCCAGCACUGGAAAGUUUUUUUGAUUCUUUGGUUGGUUGUUUUUUUGGUUUUUUUUAAAGCUACCAUAACAUUUGCCACCUUUACACAAAUGUAUAUGCAGACCAGUGAAGGACAAAUGCUGUGCACCAGAAACAUCAGUUCAGCAAUGCCCUACAAGCUUUGCAGCACAGUAGUCUGGUUAUUACUCAUUUUAAUGCACAGCACCAACUCACUAGAACUGCUUCUGCUAGAGUUCUGUCUGGGAGACACCCUCAGGCUUGUUUAGAAUAGAAGACAUAACCUAUACCAAAUCACACCCACUUCUUGUUCUUUACACAUACAAUUUACUUGCUCCAAAAUAAAAGUCAAACACUCAAAUAGACUGGCUUUUUGGUUUUGUGUUGGUUUUAGUCAGAGGUCUAACUUUUGUCUAACUAACUUAUGAAAAAUCUGUUAUCAGAACAGAAAUGCACAAAUCUAUUUUCCUUCAAACUUAUUUACCCCAGGAUCUCAGUCUAUACCUGGGUCUUGUACAUACCAUGAGAACUAAAUAAUAGUCUACAUAUCAAUAAUAAAAAAAUUGUACAAUUAAAAUUAUUAGUGAAAUAACCAUACUAUCUCUCCUUAAGACAGCAUAUUUUCAUCUCAUAUAGAUUUUGGAAUAAAGCCCUCAGCUCUAGAAGCCUGACACAGAACAGCUAAUUCCAGAUUUACAUCCAGUUAUGUUCUCUGAGGAGUUAUAUAACAAUAUUUUAAUGUAACAGGGGUGGCUAUAAAGCCAGCACAGUCUUUAAUGUUACCUGCAUUAGCUAUAAACUCUUUUCUUUCGCUCGUCAUUUCAGCAAAAUUUCAACAUUCAAGCUAGAAUUAUCCAUUGUUAUAGUUGAGGGGUUUUUGGGCUAAUAAAGAAACAAGAAAUAAGCAAUAUUUAAAAUAACUAUUGCAGCAUACUUCAGAAGUAGGGGUUGGCUCCUCUAUCACCUAAUUAAAAUAUAAAUCAACAUCAAAAUACACCAAAAUUUGACUAUUUCUCUGAGGAUUUAAAUUAAUAAUAGAUGUGAAUAUAAAUUGAUGACUAAGUAAAAGCCAGCCUGUCCACAGACAGGAGAAAAUAAAGCUUUAGGACUCUAAAUGCCUCAAAUUUAUGCCCAGUCUGCAUGUGUUUCAAACCUGGGCACAGGCUUUCCAUGUGGAGUUGAGAAUGCCAAAACAAAAAUAACUGGCAAAGAAGGGAAUAACAACAAGAUAGGCUGGACCACACUGUGGAAACAUCUGCAACAGAAAAACCAGAAAGAGCAGGUGGGGAGAAUGGAAACUGGAUAAGGAACCUGGAGGGAACCUGGGACCUUAACCCAGAGGGUAAAGAGAAACAGAGAGAGAAGCAUGACUGGCAGAAAAGCAGACUGAGUUAGGAAGCCUGAGUUACAGCAGUAACACCUGGACACGCUGAGGAAGAUGACCAGGAUGGGAACAAGCCACCAAGGAGAGAACACAGGAGGAAUAGGUAGGUCUGUAACGGUACAGUUGGAAGGAUCAACAUUUGCAGAAGCGACUGAACAAGAAAGGCUGUGCAAAGCCUGCAGCAAAAGACCAGCAUGGGAACCUAUCCUUCAGUCACCUUCUUGUCAGCAAAAGAAAGGAAGGUUAUUCUAAAACAACUGGACUAGAUAUUUAAAAUAAUAGGAUUCCUUGUCUAUACCCAGUUUCACUUCUGUCACAAAAAUCCUGCAGGAUGUUUGUCAAAAUCACCUUGUACCAAUUGCUACACUUGCCAAAAGAAGUAAAAACCACUUUCCUUGCAUUCGGAUGCUGGACUGCAGACCCCAGGCACCAGUCUGAAGGCUCUGCCAAGAGCCUGCAGUCUCAGAUAAAGUCAGUGAAAGGUGUUCUAUGAACAACAAAAGGUUUAAAAAGUGCAAUCCCUUACAACACAGAUAAGCAAGAAAAAGCAUCUUCAAGCAUCCAGAAGCUGCUGCAUGGUUUAUCUACUUUGUUUCUAAUAGCAAAAUUGCGUAAAGGGCACACUGCUCAGCUCAGCAGACAACUUCACUAUAUUUGAAACACCUGGGUACCACAGGGCCACAAAUAAUGUUCUACAGCAUUUUAAAAAAUGUGUCUAACAAAAAAUCCUGCUCACAAAAGAUUUCAAACAGCAUGAUCUAAAAAGGAAUUGAGCCCCAUAUAAAACUACAAGGAAGAGGAAAAAAUCUCAGCAGGUGUUCAGUCAGCAAGUAUUGGCUUUUGGACACUAAACAAAGCAAGAGAGAGUGGAAAGAUAGCAAAACCAUGUAAUUAAGGACUGAAUCAUAAUGCAUGUAUGCAAGGGAGGCAAAAUAAAACUACAUUAUUGACCUUAACUAGCAUGUCAUAACUUUAUUAUUUAACAAGACAGUAUUAAUAAUGUUUUCCUAAUAUUUUGUGUGCGCUAGAAAUUCAUAAUCAGAAAGAAAAAAAUCGAGUCAAUCCUCUGGCCUCUACAAUCCUCCGGCUCACCUUUCAAACACAAAGCCACAAGAUGUGAAGCUGAUGCUCAGACUUUAACUACCAAACUUCUUCUGCCUCAUUAACACAAACCUUGAACAAAAGGACACACAACAGGGAAAGAUGGCAAGCCAGGGAGCACCAGUAUUUCUACAGAGAAUACACAGACAGAUGUUCUCAGCUGAUUUCAGAGUUCCCCCAAGUGAAGAAGCACACUUCAUAUUCAAAUGUGAGGAACAGAGCUGUACCACUGUAGUACUAGGAAAAGCGGCAUCCUACUGUAUGACAACGACAUCAUUAAAUGGUAUUUUUCAUACUCAACUUCUUAGACAAGGAGGAUGGUGGUCCUGUCCCUUACCAGUCUGGUUACAUACCUAGGUCUAUCCACCCACCUCCAACUUUGCUUUUUGGAUUAAUCAACACACGGAAAAUAUUUUUAAUCUCUUUGCACAGCACCUGCUUCAGUAAGACCAAAGGAGGAUCCUGGAAAGCUGUCCUGACUAAGAGCACUGUAAUAGCAGUGCUUCUCCGGUUCAACUAUAACACUGAUCUUGCACAAUAAUGUAGCAGACAGGCUGUGAUCCAGGCCACAUCUGUAUCAGGAAGCACAGAAAUGCAACAGGAACAGACCUAGGAUAUGCAUACACUUGCUAUGUGUCCUCUUUCAGUGCUCAAGGCUUCAGGCUAAUUCUUAAAUGACCCUGCAGGCUGCAUGCUUACCAGUGCUUUUGGACCAUGCUUUGGUGUGCCGUGGGACUUAUCUUCUAGUGCAGUUUCAUCCAGAACAGCUUCUGCACUCUAAGUUCUGUACUUGAUCAUACAACCCAAAUAGGAGGGACAAGCUUGCUACAAGAGAUUUCCUUCAAGAAACCAUUGCUGAUUUGAAUAGAGAGCCACAUCCCACUGGCACUGAACAGCAGCUACCAGCUUUAGCACUCUGUCUUGCUCCAACUUCCUACAGUUUUCAAGACCAUUCCUUUCUUUAGUGGAAAGAUCAUUCCCUUCCUUCUACAGUUUCCCUUCAGAAACCUUUCAGAUUCUGCUGCUUUGCUGAGAAAGCAGGUUAAGUCUCAAGUCCUUUACACAGUAUGUGAAACUCAUAAAACUUCUGUUGCUAAAUUUAAAUGUUGCAGAAUCAGAAGAAAAUCAUAAGGAAAAAUCCCACAAGCAGCUGAACACUCAUUCUAUGCAUAUGCAGCACUUGUACACAACUGAUUCAUUUCCAUGUGGAAUUUGCAGUAUUUGUAAAAUUAGCCAUUUGAAUGUCAGAGUCAUUUUUGUAUGGGGAAAAACAUGUUAAUAAUAAAUAAAACUGCAGUAAUCUUAGUUUUUGCUAUCUUUAUAUCUGCCUAUAUCCCAAAUUUCUUCAUGGAUGUUAACAUGCAAGCCUCCUUUUUUUUUUUUUUUUUUUGUUUUUUUUUUUUUUUUUUGGUUUUUUUUUGUUUUUUUUUGCCAACUGAACAGAUGGCACUUUGCUAUAAUAAGGGGAAACAAAACCAGAGAUAAUGUUGAAAGAGUUUUGGGUUUACUUGCAGAAACUGGCAGGAGCUAAAACAACAAAAAAACCUCACUCUAUUUCAAUGCAACAAAAAUGGAGACAUUAACUCUGUGGGUAUAUUUUAAAGGCAAAUAUUUUACUUCUACAGCAAUUAUACCAUUCUAAAUUUUAAGAAGAUGGUUACUCCCAGAGCAGAUCUGAAUUCAAUAUUUCGCUGACCAGGAUUGGAAGUAAUUACUUCUAGACACUUUGAGGGAGAUAAAUAAAAUGCUUUCAUUCAUAGCACAGCAUAGUUCCUUUGUACAUGCAGCAUUUGGAAUUAUUUGGGUAACAGAUAAUAGCCUAUAAUUAACUCUUCACAUAAAACGAGGGAAAAAUAGCAAUACCACAUGAGGCUGCAAGAUGUAGAAUACUUGCAAUAGGACUAAGAAAGCAGGGUACCACUAAGUUGAAUUUCUUUUCUCAAGCACAAAUGGCUUCAGAACUAUAUUCCAUAACACACAGGAUUUGCCAAGACUCGUGUUGAUACUCUUAGUAAGUGCUUUAGUUCAAGCAGUUACUACUUUUGAAUUUUUGAGUUACCAGCGGUUGUGGCUAAAGGCUAUUUCAGUAAUAUUGCACAGACAAACUACCUUAUUUCCAUCCAACAGCUCCAUAAACAACAAUCUCAUUAUCCUCUCAGUUAUCUGUGACUACACCAUGACUUGUUUUAAAUCAAUAUUGCUCCAUCCCUCUAGGAUAUUUACAAAGUGAAUAUAUUCCUCAUGAGCUGCUAGGAAAAAUCCUACAUUACCUUUCUUUCCUAUCAGCUACAGAACCUCUUCCUUUCUGACCAUCAUAUUUAAAUUCAAUCUACUCAAAAUAUCUGGCACAAAACAGUUUCUUCCAAUGCUCCAAGUAGCAUGACCACUGAUUGUCUCAAUUUUCUUUUCAAAGCAUUUCACAUACUGUUUGGAGACUCCCUUCAAUCCCCAAUUUGUGCCCUACACCUACUUCCUACAUGGAUAUGUGGGAAGGAUUCCCCUUCCAGCACACUAAGCUCCCCUGCUUACAACUUCUUGCUUUCUACUGCUAGCGUCAGCUAUUUUGGUUCUCUUGCUAAGAACAUAAUUAAAGAAGUCUGCCAACAAUGUGUUUGCAACCAAGUGUAGAAACAGACACUACUUGUUUAGAACAGAUUCUCUCUCAUCAUGUUUCACAAUAUGUAUCACUUGCUUUGAUUAAGACUGCAAAUUCUGCAGGUUUUAAUUUCUGUUUCUGUAAGCGCCAUUCUUAUAAUGCUCUGUAAGUGCUAAAUAAUGAUUUAAACCAUUAAUCUACUGCCGACAGAAAAAUGCAACUGGAUUAAAGUUGAUUAAUUUGUUCUAAAUCUCAAUCUGAUUUGGUGGGAAAUAAUAUCUAGGAAGGCUGCUGUCUUUCUAGGUUGGUUUGUUUUGUUUAUUCCUUAUCCCACAGAUUAGUUCCCAUAGCAGUACUUUGUUUUUUCUUGUAAAGAAUCAACAAGAACUCAAUUUUAUGAUAAAUUAGCUUUUUCAGCAGAUUAAGCACUACAUCUUCAGCAAUUCUGAACUGUGUCACCUUCCACAGACAUAUGGUAGAAUAAGCCAAAUAUACAAGGAUCUUUUGGUACAGCUGCCCAGCAUUUACACAUCCCCAUGUGCAUAUUAUUUUCAAGUGUCUGCAUCUAAAGUGUCAUUAACAUUCUUCAGCAGAGAUAUAUUUUUGCAAGCGCCUGUUUCAAAAGCAUCAUUACAAUACUGAUGAAACAACACAACACCAACCUUCUAAGCUGAUUUUAAAUCAGGUCGUAUUCAGGUUCAAAAAACUGAGAAAGUCUCAGCCAACACUGGCGUCAGCAUGGAAGGCACCAAAGCACAUUGAAGUGCCUCUGCUAAAUCUCAGGAAAAGGUAUCAGCAGUCAAAUCCACAAGCAGACAUUGCUGCUGCCAGCUUAUUACAUCUCUUACAUCCAACUUCAAGGUAAUCUCCAGUCCUCUCCAGUUUUUCUUUAAACUCUGUCACUUUCUGUAAAUAAUUCUUCCAGGCUAUUAAGUGAAAAGCUAUCAAAGACUAAUUAAGCAGAUAAGUAUUUUAAUAACCAGCUGGACAGCUUGAGUACUAAAUUUUGUAGUUCUCAGGAGUGCUUGAGACACCUUGAUGUUGUUCAUCUUUUUUCCAACACAAACCCGAGGUUGACAAUCUCAUCUUACAGAGACAUGCACAGAACUUUACAUACAGAUCUUUAUUCAAAUUUUGUAUUUACUUGGACUUGUUACCAAGGCCUGAAAGAAGAGAUUUGUCAGUAAAAUAAGCUCAUUUACUCUGCAGUAAUAUUUACCAGUGAGAAAAUAAUUAUACUUCUUAUAGUAAUUCAAGAGCUCACCAUAAUCAGAUCUCCCAGCCUCUGGAAUCUCAGGACAGAUGACCUCCUGACUAAGGUCAUACUGACUGGGGUGGCACAAAAUGUGCCUCCCUCCACCCCAGGAACAGCAAAACUUGAUGCAAGAAUCCAUAGCACACACCCAGUGCCAGGCAGCACACUGCUCAUUGGAGACUGCUUGAGCCUUCCUGCCUCCUGGCCAGCAGCACACAUCAGGACAAACAUCUGCCUGAGGCUGUGGCACAGCAAACUCUUCUGUUACAUCAGUGAGAGAGAUUGUAUCAAAGCACUGGGCUCAAGCAGGUGAGAGUGGGUGCCUUGCAUGCAAAGUCAAUUUCUCCCACACUUAAGAAAAAUAUAUGCUCACACACACAUCUAAUCAAAAGCUGUUUUGUCUUCAGGUAAACACAGUAAUUUAAAACAGCUAUUUUAUUUUAGUAAGCCAAUUCAAAUUUUCUUGAAGGGUGUCAUGAUUUCUUUCAUGCAUCUGCUGCCCAGAGAGAGCAGGACUCUUUGGAGAACAACCUGUGCAUGUCUGUUGCACUUGAACUUACUGCAGAAACUCUAAUAUUGCAGUUUGUCAGUGACCUUUUUGUCAGCUGAUCCGUAAUGACACAGCAAGAAACUCAGCCACCCUGUACUGAAAGAGAAAAUUACAAGAAAGAGGAUGUCUACAGUCACUUCACUAUCCAGUUCACUGGUAUGCUGUGAAAAACACACAGGAUUCUUUUGCCAGUCUCACCCUCCAAAGCAAGCUGAAGCAGCAGCUGAGUAAAGAAUCAAGAAACACAAUGACAAAAGGACUCAGUAAAUUGAAGUGCGAACACUAGGUAGGAAGAAGAACACUCAAUUCAGGAGUAAGCUUUUUGAAUAGAGUAAUGAAAAAGGUUAAAAAAACCCACCUAAACGCUAACAACUCCUUACUUCCAGCCACUCUUAGGAGUGGCAAUUUCACAGUUAAAAUAGUUGCUAUUCAAAUCCAGACUCUAUGGUUGCAAUUUAAAUACUGGGCAGUAGGAAAUAGGAAAAACAGAUUUGGCAACUCUUCCCUUUAGAAAAUGUAAUACCAACCCAUUGAAAGUGAACACCAUUUUGAAGACAUCUCUGCUACGAAAACUUCUAGGAACAGGGAAUACACUAAAGCUUUAUGGAGACUUUAAACAAAGCUCAUUGGCUGAGAGGGCAACUUUUUUUUUUUCUUUUUAAAGCACUGACAUGUAAUAGACAAAGUAUAAACAUGAAAAGAUGACAAGUUAUUCUUACUUUCUUGGAAGAGAGCAGGAUGUGUGAACUAAUGUUACCUGCCUGGCAAGACCACAAUCUGCUCUGCCUUGCAGGUGGCAGCACUUAAUAAUCUAGUGCUGAACAUUUUGGGCACCAUCAGCACACACAUUCUGUCAUUUAGAUACAGCUCUUGCCUUUAAUGACUCUCUCUGUGCUCUCCUAUCUAAGAAUAGACAGCACUCAAUUUUGCACGGUCUUUUCAACUUCCAACAACACUAUGCAAAAAAGGGUCAAAGAUCAAACUUGCUUAACUGACAGCCUGCUACAAACUUUCAAUCCAAAGUGAGCACAAGCAUCAAGGGCUGACAUUUGUCAGCUAAGACACAGUGAUGACCAUCCAGAUGAACUACUGUUUAACUCGGGUCACAGCCACAAAAAUAUUUCCUGAACAACAGCUCUGUGUUAAAAACACAAGUAACACUUGUAUGUUGCUGAACCUAAGAAACAUACAAAGAAAUCAAACCUUACUAUUUAGUUAGUGAUUAAACUUGUGAUAAAACCAGGGAGCAAUAAAGUUUCCUUGGAAGGUGGCAGAAUCUCACCAAUCUUCAUUAAACCAUAUGAGAUGGAGGGCAUUUCCUCUAUUAUCUUCCAAAAAGUAAAUAUUGUGGUUCACAUGAUUAUUGUACUUAUUUAUUAAUUUGAUUUUCAGCAUAGAGCCAGGGAAGAAAAAAAAUCUAUUGUUUUCAUUUCCAUAGGUAUAAUUCACUUAAUAUAGACCUCUAGGCAGAAACUGGCAUCUUAGAUUAAGCUGCCUGCAUACUUUUGCUAAAGGCCAAGUAUUUUCUAAAAAAAUACAUAUGUCAACUAUAAAGCAUGUUUUUAAAAUCUUACAAGCAUCUUAAUUUACUUUAAAGAAGUCACCAAUCACUGCUCAGAGAUGGAUUGGGCAUGGGUCCACAGGUGGUGAACACUUGUAUUGUGCAUCACUUGUGCUUUUUUUUUACUUGUGGUCUUUCUUUACCAGUACUAUUAUUUUUAGGGUUAAUAGUAGUAGUAUAUUUUAUUAUCAUUAGCAUUAUUGUAUUUUACUUUUUUUUCAGUUAAUAAAGUGUUCUUAACUUAAAUGCUUGGGUUUCUUUCCUGAUUCUCCUGCCCUUCCCACCAGAGUGGGAGACAGCAAAUGGCAGCAUGAUGCUGAGUUGCCAGCUGAGAUUAAACCACAACUGCAAUUGUGAAGUGGAAUUAACACAACCUUGGGUCUACAGCAAUACAUUAAAAUUAUUUGCUAUAGAAUAUAAAGAACAAGCAGAGAGAAGACUAAAAAUUCCCUCUUUUCAAUGUAUUACACAGUCUGAGACAAAGUUAAACUACAGAACAAAAUCAUUGCACAUUAAUGCCCAUGACAAGCAAGGGAAUACUUGCUUCAGGGGCGUUUUGACUGUUCUGGUCCUCACAUGAUGUAGACAUCCUGAAUCAGGCUGACUUCCAGGCAUUAACCUAGUCAUCAUUUGUAAGUGUCAAUCUCAUUUUCUGCUUACUUGCUUCUACCCACACCCAGCCUUCCUGGGCAAUACACUUUCACAUCAGAUCUUCCUCAUUUCAGUUUCCCACCCACAAAUUUUCCUUCAUUCAAAGGUCCUGAAGAAUCAGGCAGACCACGAGAUAAAAGGCAACAUUAAUCAAGAUAAACUGAUGACCUAUCACACAUCAAACCAUACAACAGACCAAGGAUGAUCUUUAAAAAGGAGAAAUCUGCUUACAGAAGCCAGGAGUCAUAAAAAAGCAUGGAAAAUUGAGGAUCUGAAAGUGGAUGUAUCAGCAAUUCAUAUCCUUUAACACCAUAUGUGAGUAUUUUUGUCACACAUUGACAGGAAUUGUACAGCUAUAGUUCUAAAUUAUAAAAAAGUAAUUUUUUACUUAAAAUGUGAAAAGUUUCCACUAUUUAAACAUUAUCAAUACCUUUGGGGGUGGUUUUUCUUUUCAGGGUUUUUUUUUUUUUUUUUGGACGAACAACUUAAUCCACAGCAGUAUCACAGCUCUGUGAAUUUAAUCACCGUCUUUCAUAGCACAGUAGGGAGGAGAACACUAACCUCCAUAGCCAUCACAGACAUUUGGCAACGAGUAGGCCACUCCAUCUUCAUAAAAAGCUUUUCUUUAUUACGUUUAAAAUUUAUCGAAGUGGAAAAAUGGAGACAAAAAGUUAGUUUAUAUUAAUGAUGUUAAGCAAUUUGCUUAUUUGUUUUGAAAAAGCUUUUCAUUUACGGAUUACCUCCACCCUAAAAUGAUGAAACACUUAAGUAAUUUAUUAUUCUUUAUUGAAGCUGCAAAAAUAUAAAUCCCUAUUGCCAAUUGAGUCAGAAUGAUUAUAAAAAAGGUAAAUUUAAUUUACCAGAUGCUAAAUAGUGAUCUCCAGUGACACCUCACAGAAGUAACCUACAAUUUUUAGAUUGCAAACACCCCAUGCAUUCAUCAUAGAGCUACUUGAAGACAGACAAGUUUAAGCCUUGCUUUUAUUACAUUUAUUUUCAAUAAAUCCUGACAUAAUUACCAACUAUAAAUAGAGUUAUUUCAAAACAGCAAAACAGAAAUUAAUAAUUAAUUAUUAGUACAUAAACUGAGGAGCCUAAAAGUGAGAGGAGAGCUAAAUAGUUCUUUAGCUGUCCAUAUUGGAACCUUACUGCUGCAUGCAGUGCUUUUUAAUCAUGCAUUCACAGACCACAAUUGCAAAACAAUGUCAAGAGACACCAAAAAUUCAGCAAGGCCAAUUAAUAAGAUAGGCAGAAAAUGAUGACCAUGCUGAGCUGGAAAAAGAUGGCAUUUGUUUCAAGUCUGCAAAAUGUCAUCUCCUGUUGAGAACACAGAAAACACAAAUGAGCAUUCUAUAAAUGGAUACAUGAAUAUGUGGGAGGAAAAGCACAGAAAAAAACCCACAACACCACUACCUUAAACCUGCUCAGACAUUAAGCAUCCACACACAUCCAUCCACUCUUAGAAGGAAAAAAAAUAAAAAGAGACCACAGAGAGACAUGAGCCACGAAUUCCAACUGAAGGGCUCUGACAGUUUUUCCCAUUGGUACCACUUCAUGGUUUAAGCCUAAGACUUUAGUGAAGCAUGAUCAACUUUCUCUGAUUAAUUACUUGUGUUACCCUGACACCCAGGAGCCUGGAGCCAAGAAUAUCAACAAGCAGAGCACUGAGCAAGCACAGGCUGUGCAGUGGUUGAAGGAGUGCAGAGGAUGAAGGCAGUCUGUAGCCCAAGCUCAAAGUGAAACACAGACAACUGGGAGGCUAAAGAGAGACCCUCAACACAAGUCAGCAUGAGAGGCAGCAGUAACAAGCAGCAAGCUUCUUUUAGCAGAAAAAGAUUUUCUGAGGCUUUUUAAUCCUUUAUAAAACAGACACAUGUUGGAAACAAAACCAAAGACUACCCUCCUCUGAGAUGUGCCAAAAAUUAUCUUCCAGCUUGUGAAGCAGAAAACGUAUAACAGAAAACAACUAACAGGAAGGUAUAAAAACAGCAAAGCCUUUUCAUGUUAGCAUAGUCAGGUUAAAAGCACAGUCAGGUUAAUUACUUAAAUCUUUUGGAUCUUCUUGCUGUUCAUUGUUUAUAAAUAUAUUAUCCAUUCAUUUGCCCUUAUUUUCACUGCUGGACCUAAUUUAAACAAAGAUUAUAUACAGUUAACAAGUUCCAAACCAAAGAUACAUUGCCAACCCCAGAAGCAAGUAUUCUCUGUGCAUAUACAAGUAUUCUUCUUAUCAAAAAGCUCAUUAAACUAGCCUUCAAUAUUCUUCAUUAUUAUUAGGUUUCUUUAUUGAAGUGUCAUUUGCCUUAGUUUUUCAUAUUAUAAUUUCUUAAAUAGCUGUACAUGUCUAAUCUGCAUUGUAUAUUUCAGAAAAACUCCAUUUGUGAGCCACCAUGGAGCUUUUCAGAAUUUCUCUAAGCAGACCUAAAAGAUGAUACAGUGCCUUCAAACAUUUACCAUCUGCUUAAAAAAUUUGCUACUUACUACUAAGCCUUUCACAGUCUUUAAAGGUAAAAAUGCACAAUUUCAUAAUCCUUUUUAAUUCCCUCCACUUGAAUUACCCAUGCUAAAAGUGAUCAGAAAAGAGGUUUUGUUGUGGUUUUAGUCUUCUUUAUGCCUGUUUCCCAUACACCAUUCACUGUCAAAACAUGUUCCAUAAUAAAAUGCUCAGUUUCCAAUUAGCAAAAAAAGGUUCCAAAAAUGCCAUAUUUUCCAUUGUGAAUGUAACUGAGGCAAAAUCCCUGCCUCCUUUCCAGUGCCAACUGGACACGGUAUCAUUUCAGCAAGAUCUACACAGACACCCUUAUGUAACCAACCCUCCUUGGAAGAGUGACAGGUAGGUCUCAUUACUGCUAGAUAGCAUUCAUUUCCACACUUGCCUUCAAGUGCGACGACACUGCCAAACCCUUGAGCUAAGAUAUAGGUGGUGUUUGUACAAAACAGGCCUCUGCUUUCUAGCAUCAUAAAAUCAGUUAUUUUUUAACUAGAUAUUCAACUGACAAAGGUGUCUGAUAAACACACUAGUUCAAGCAUUCAUGUAAUAACACACAUGCUGAGGUUUAAGGUUGGGAUCAGACUGUUUGCAUAGUUAUUUCCAGACUCACUUCUAUACUGUCCUGCCAAAGUUUGCUUCACUGCCUGGAGACCCAACCUCUUAAUACAAUGUCAAGCUGUUAUUUUUAUCAACAACAACAACAAAAUUACUGUAUUAUUUUAAAAUUAAACAUCCUACUAA